UUGAUUCACGACCGAAACCUGUUACUCGAAUCCCCCUGCCCCCUCGUUCGUCCCUCUUCACGAUUGCUCGACGAGCUGUCUGUGCCUGCGCUGCGAGUGAACACCGACAACGAUGCUCGAAAAAUCUCUCACGAGAAGGGUGAGACGACCAUGCAAACAGCUCGAACAAAGGAAAGGAAGGGGAAGGGGGGAGGAGGAGGAGGAAGGAGAGGGUUAUCGUCGAAAUUGUGCCGGCAUUACUUCAGCUCCAAAAAAUUUCUCUCGAAAUUACUCGCUCUCGGAGGAUGGAAACAAACGGAAGAGGGAAGAGAGAGAGAGAGAGAGAGAGAGAGAUUCUUAAAGGCGGAGAGGAAACUUGGAAGGGUGGCCUCCACCCUGCUCGUUAGCUGUUACAACUUGCAGAGGGCAUGAAGAGAUCCCUGUUCUCCCCCUCGCCCACCCCAUAAAGAUGGCCUCGACCAUUCGAUGUAACCUUUCCCCCGUGUGAGAUUUCGUGUGCCAGGUUUGGCUGCGAUUUCAAUUUAUAUCCAAUUGAAACUUGGUUGGCUUAAUUUGCUUGAAUAUUUGGAAGAG